rnacentral:rRNA from 1 species
AUGAACGCUAGCUACAGGCUUAACACAUGCAAGUCGAGGGGCAGCAUGGUCUUAGCUUGCUAAGGCCGAUGGCGACCGGCGCACGGGUGAGUAACACGUAUCCAACCUGCCGUCUACUCUUGGACAGCCUUCUGAAAGGAAGAUUAAUACAAGAUGGCAUCAUGAGUCCACAUGUUCACAUGAUUAAAGGUAUUCCGGUAGACGAUGGGGAUGCGUUCCAUUAGAUAGUAGGCGGGGUAACGGCCCACCUAGUCUUCGAUGGAUAGGGGUUCUGAGAGGAAGGUCCCCCACAUUGGAACUGAGACACGGUCCAAACUCCUACGGGAGGCAGCAGUGAGGAAUAUUGGUCAAUGGGCGAGAGCCUGAACCAGCCAAGUAGCGUGAAGGAUGACUGCCCUAUGGGUUGUAAACUUCUUUUAUAAAGGAAUAAAGUCGGGUAUGGAUACCCGUUUGCAUGUACUUUAUGAAUAAGGAUCGGCUAACUCCGUGCCAGCAGCCGCGGUAAUACGGAGGAUCCGAGCGUUAUCCGGAUUUAUUGGGUUUAAAGGGAGCGUAGAUGGAUGUUUAAGUCAGUUGUGAAAGUUUGCGGCUCAACCGUAAAAUUGCAGUUGAUACUGGAUAUCUUGAGUGCAGUUGAGGCAGGCGGAAUUCGUGGUGUAGCGGUGAAAUGCUUAGAUAUCACGAAGAACUCCGAUUGCGAAGGCAGCCUGCUAAGCUGCAACUGACAUUGAGGCUCGAAAGUGUGGGUAUCAAACAGGAUUAGAUACCCUGGUAGUCCACACGGUAAACGAUGAAUACUCGCUGUUUGCGAUAUACAGCAAGCGGCCAAGCGAAAGCGUUAAGUAUUCCACCUGGGGAGUACGCCGGCAACGGUGAAACUCAAAGGAAUUGACGGGGGCCCGCACAAGCGGAGGAACAUGUGGUUUAAUUCGAUGAUACGCGAGGAACCUUACCCGGGCUUAAAUUGCAGAUGAAUUACGGUGAAAGCCGUAAGCCGCAAGGCAUCUGUGAAGGUGCUGCAUGGUUGUCGUCAGCUCGUGCCGUGAGGUGUCGGCUUAAGUGCCAUAACGAGCGCAACCCUUGUUGUCAGUUACUAACAGGUUCCGCUGAGGACUCUGACAAGACUGCCAUCGUAAGAUGUGAGGAAGGUGGGGAUGACGUCAAAUCAGCACGGCCCUUACGUCCGGGGCUACACACGUGUUACAAUGGGGGGUACAGAGGGCCGCUACCACGCGAGUGGAUGCCAAUCCCAAAAACCUCUCUCAGUUCGGACUGGAGUCUGCGACCCGACUCCACGAAGCUGGAUUCGCUAGUAAUCGCGCAUCAGCCACGGCGCGGUGAAUACGUUCCCGGGCCUUGUACACACCGCCCGUCAAGCCAUGGGAGCCGGGGGUACCUGAAGUGCGUAACCGCGAGGAGCGCCCUAGGGUAAAACUGGUGACUGGGGCU